GGAACUUAAGAACGGGGACCGCGGAGGGAAGAUUUUCUCGGUUGAACGCUGUUUCGACCGGCUAUUUGAUGUGGAAUCAUGUCGGGAGUUGGCCUGCUGUGUCGUAUAGGACGGUUGGUACCUGGAGGCAUCCUUAAUUCAGUUCUCGGGGCAGCGAAGGCUGCGGAAGUUGGAUUGAGACGACAGGGUCUGUGGUUGGUCACAGUUCGGCAUAUUAUUUACAAUAGCUCAUGGUGGGAUGAGCAUCUUUCAGAAGAAAAUGUUGAGUUCCUUAAGAAACUUUCAACAGAAGAAUAUAAAGCUCAAACUGCUAGUAAACUUUGUCCUCUGAAAGAUGAGCCUUGGCCUCUGCACUCAUGGGAGCCAGGUUCUAAAAGAGUUGGUAUUAUUGCAGUAAAGUUGGGAAUGAUGCCAUUGUGGACUAAGCAGGGUAAAAAAAUACCUGUCACAAUGCUUCAGGUUCAAGACUGCCAUGUUAUUAAAUACACACCCAAAGAAGAAUUUGAUGGGAAAACUCCCAGUCUAACUGUUGGAGGGAAAAAUGUGUCUGAAUUCCAUAGAAGUUCUUCUGUCAUGGAAAUGUAUAGAGAACUAGGGCUUCCACCAAAACAGAAAAUUUCAAUAUUUCAAGUGUCACCUAAUGCUGUCAUUAAGCCAGGUACACCUCUAUAUGCAGCUCAUUUCCGCCCAGGGCAGUACGUGGACGUCACUGCUAAAACAAUUGGCAAAGGUUUCCAAGGAGUCAUGAAAAGAUGGGGAUUUUCUGGCCAGCCUGCUUCCCAUGGCCAAACUAAAUCACACAGACGACCUGGAUCAAUUUCUAAUUCUGGUGUUGCAAAGGUCUUCAAGGGAAAGAAAAUGCCAGGACAAUUAGGAAACUUCUAUCGGACAGCUAAUGGUCUAAAGGUAUGGCAGGUCAAUGUGAAGCACAAUAUUUUAUUUGUACAUGGAAGUGUUCCUGGUCAUAAAAAUUGCUUAGUAAAGAAACUGCACAAAAUAGAAUGCAAUCUAUUGGUGAGCUUCAGAGAUUAUCUCAGCAGUGCCCAGAAUAUUGGACUAUUGUCUGUCCACUUUUGUUCAGUUCAGCAUAUUUUGAAGAGUGUAUCAACUCAACAGUGAUUUGGAAGAAAUGCUUUGAAUCUUGCCUAAGCACAGCAUCUCUCUCUUAUUGAUUAAAAGAUCACUGACACAGUUUUACCUGCCUACCAAGAUAACCUUAAGAAUCCACCAUUUCCAACAUUUUUUGCUGAUUCUGAAGAGCUGCCUGAUGAGCUGUAUGACGAAGAACUUUUCCAGUUCACUGAACCCUCCAUUGCAC